UUUUUGUUCUUUGAAUUUUUUAGAAUAUUAUUUUGCAUGUAAAUUUUUUUUAGUUUUUUUUUUCUAAAUGAUUUUUUUUUUAUUUUCAGUGUUUAAUUUUUUUUAUUUAAUGAUUUAAUUUUAAGUAAUUAUUUUUUAACAGAAUAAUUUUGUGCCAGCAUUCGCGGUUACACAAAAUGUUAAAAUAAAUUUUUAUCGGUGUUCAGAUUUAAUUAUAGGCAAUUUUUUUAUUUAGGUGAAAUUUAUAUUUAAUUUUUUCUUAUUUCUGAUUAAUCUUUUUUAAAAACCAGGAUUAGAUACCCUGUUAUUUGGACUAUUUACUAAAUUCCGGGUAGUAAAUUUUAUUGAAAUUUAAUGGAUCUGGCGGUUUUUAAAUCUUUUUAGAGGAACCUGUAUUUUAAAUGAUAUUCCACGAUUUUUUUUACCUUGAUUUUCUUGUAUAUCUCUGUCGUUGAAUGUAUUGUAAAAUUUGAUUUUCUUUUAUUUUUAUUGAUUUUAUGUUAGGUCAAGGUGCAGUUAUAUUUAGGUUAAUAUGGGUUACUUUAAUUUUUUUUUUUUGAUUUUUAUAUUAUUUAUUUUAAAUGAAAUUGGAUUUAAAAGUAAUUUUUUUUUUUAAAAUUUAUGAAUUUUAGCUCUUAACUAUGUACAUAUCGCCCGUCAUUCUCACUAAGUGAGACAAGUCGUAACAAAGUAGAUGUAUCGGAAGAUGUAUCUAGA
rnacentral:ncRNA from 1 species